UACGGGGGGGAGCAAGCGUUGUUCGGAUUUACUGGCGUAAAGGGCGCGUAGGCGGUCAGCACAAGUCAGUUGUGAAAUCUCCGGGCUUAACUCGGAAAGGUCAACUGAUACUGUGCGACUAGAGUGCAGAAGGGGCAACUGGAAUUCUCGGUGUAGCGGUGAAAUGCGUAGAUAUCGAGAGGAACACCUGCGGCGAAGGCGGGUUGCUGGGCUGACACUGACGCUGAUGCGCGAAAGCCAGGGAGCGAACGGG
rnacentral:rRNA from 1 species